rnacentral:rRNA from 1 species
ACUACGGGAGGCAGCAGUGAGGAAUAUUGGUCAAUGGGCGCGAGCCUGAACCAGCCAAGUAGCGUGAAGGAUGACUGCCCUACGGGUUGUAAACUUCUUUUCUCAAGGAAUAAAGUGAGGCACGUGUGCCUUUUUGUAUGUACUUUAUGAAUAAGGAUCGGCUAACUCCGUGCCAGCAGCCGCGGUAAUACGGAGGAUCCGAGCGUUAACCGGAUUUAUUUGGUUUAAAGGGAGCGUAGAUGGGUUGUUAAGUCAGUUGUUAAAGUUUUCGGCUCAACCGUAAAAUUGCAAUUGAUACUGGCAGUCUUGAGUACAGUUGAGGUAGGCGGAAUUCGUGGUGUAGCGGUGAAAUGCUUAGAUAUCACGAAGAACUCCGAUUGCGAAGGCAGCUUACUAAACUGCCACUGACAUUGAUGCUCGAAAGUGUGGGUAUCAAACAGGAUUAGAUACCCGAGUAGUC